CGUCCUCCUGGGAACCUUAUUUGCUUAGAGAUUUCAGGGCUGGCAUCAGCUGUCAUAGUUGCUGCCUUGGAGGGUCUCGAGGAGGUGGGAUUCCACAGGAACAGCCACAAGUGCCACCUCUGCUGGAAGCCUUGCCAGGCAGACCUCGUGCAGCCAGCAGCCCAGCUUCCUGUGAGCGGCGGCUCCACACAGGCCACUGGCCCCUGGUGUCUGAGUUGCCCACUCUGGCCCUUGGCCUGCGUUUCCGUCAGGAUUCCUGUCUCCUUUAUUUGAUGUGUGGGAGUUCUAAAUGAGGCCCAAGAAUAAUCUGGUGUUUAACCAAGAUCACAGUGUAGCACUUCUACUGGUAAAAUU